GGCACGCACGUCGAGCUCAGGCUAGGGCUGACGAUGCUGGCUAAGCGGGGGCGCACGUCUGGGAAGUCGUAGUCGUAGUUACCGAUGUCCACGACCUUCCAGAGCAUCUGGUAACCACGGUCCUACUCAAUACUUCUGUGAGAUCAACUUCUUUGGAUUCCACGUAUGAUCAAGAUCAUGAGGAAGGAGGAGCAAGUCUUCUUUGUCAUGCUGUUAAGAAAACACCCAGAGUCACAGCACCAUGAUCUCCCAGUGAAGCAGAACAAGUAAUAUAAAACUGAUCUAAAGAGGCCUUGCCUCUAUUCUUAUCUGUCUGGUCAAGUCAUUUGGGGCCAAGUGGGCACUGUUGUGGGAGGGUGGGAGGACUCAUCACUGGUGGCCCAGGCAUCAUUGGCAUACGGCCUCCUGUAUUAGUCUGUUCUCAUGCUGCAAAUAAAGACAUACUUGAGACUGGAUAAUUU